AUGCACCUCGUCAAUCCUAUCACUGGUCAACAGAUUGCUCUCCCUUCGGUGACCACCAUGGAGUACGUGAAGCCCAUCUUUGAUGACUUGGGUGCUGUCCAGAAGUAUGAAUACCCAAGUCACUCUGCAAGACGAGCUUUCUUCACGCCAUCGAUCCUCGCUGGUUGUGAGCUGCGGGAACAGCUCCAGAUCAAGGCGUUUGUGUUUCAUGAUACAUCCACAGGAAGCUACAUCGUUGCGCUAAUCCACGAGCCAUACAAUCACCUCUCGUUUGCAAGAGUAGGGGAUGAUAAGUGGACCUUGCUGCCACCACACCAUCACUAUCAGGACUGCACCUACAAGGAUGGGUUGUUGUACGCAGUGGUUAUAAAGGGAGAAAUCCAUGCCUUCGAUCUUAGUGGUCCUGCUGUUACAAUGAAAAUUAUUAGAGGAGUCGACGAGGAUUUUUAUCCCGAUGCCGUAUACAUUGUUCAGGCCCCAUGGGGUGGUCUGCUGCUUGUUUCAAGGUUUAAAGAGUUUGAGGAUCCUGAUGAAGAUGGUGACCCUGAAAUAUAUGUUCCGCAUACUACGGAAAUCAAAUUACACACAGUUGAUGAUUGCACAGAGAGGCUUGUGGAAAUUGAUUGCUUGCCUGACCAUGUGCUGUUUCUUGGACACAACAAUCCACUUUGUCUGAGUGCCAAAGAUUACCCUGCUCUCAAGGGAAAUCAUGCCUACUUUACUGACGAUGAUGAGUACAAUAAAAACCGUAAGAGUAGUCCUCGUGAUAUUGGAGUAGUUGGCUUGGGCAAUAAUAGCGAGGUGGACCUUGUGUCUCCUCAGCUUUGGUCCAACUGGCCUUCUCCCGUGUGGAUUACACCCAGUCUUACUGCUAUGAAUCGGUCAUCCAAUGACCGUUGGCUCAGUGGACCGAUGCCUGGACUCCGGAAGAUGCAAGAUGACACCUUGAGGGCUCUCUUUGCCGCCCUUGGAUCCCAAUCAGCAUUGGUCCAACUGGCCUGCUCCAGUGUUUGA
rnacentral:rRNA from 1 species